GUUAUAUAUCAAACAUAAUGAAAAUCUAUGCAAAUAAAUGUAGUGAAACCUAAAUUAGAACCAAGUACCAACCUUACUGCUAGCUCUGUGUUAAUAAAAAUAGGGAGCUCUUAUGUUGCUUAUCAGCUGGAUUGCUGUAUCUCAAAGGCUAAAGACAGACUUUCAAAAAACCUGAGCCUGAAUUGAUUCAAUCUUUGCAGGUUAGUCAAACCUGGCUAGGCUAAAUCAGUUUUGUAACCAGACAGACAUCCCAGAAAUAUAGUCACAUGCUUGCAGUGUCCCUUCCUUCCACAGCACUGAGCUGAGGGGGAGCAUGGCCAGAACUCAACAGGGUGCUCUGAUUAGCCCAGCAGGGAAUUGAUAACAGUGUUUAUCUCCCCAAACUCAGUGUUUAUCACCCCAUUAAGAAAACAACAGAGGGACUUUACGAGCUAUGAGUUGAUUACAAGUUGAUUCAUCAUGGACCAUAGCCAGCAUGUGUUCUGCUAGCCAAUAUACAGACAUCUCCUCAGCAAGGUAGGAAUUCCCCCCUCCCCACUACUUAACAGGGAGUGGUGAGGGGAGUGUGGAGCAGCUUGCAGUCUCUGGAGCUGCAGCCAGGGAACAGAAGGGAGGGGCCAGCCCUGCUGUGGAGCAGAGAGAGCCCCACCAAGCACAGAGAGCAUGCCAGGAUGCUGGGGGAGUCUGAUUUAUCUUAAACCAGGAAGGGGUCUGGUUGCAUAAACUGGUUUGAGCCAAAUCAAUUAUGAGUCCAUUGUUUGUUCUGUGAGUUAUAAACAAAGACAAAGUUUUUGCUUCCACUUCAACAAGAUGUACUAAGUCCCUUGGGAAGAGCUAUAUUCCACUGUCCCCUCAGUUUCCACAUCUUGAAUGCUCUUGUAAUAUCUGGAUUUGAAAUCUGGAUCUCUUGAAGAAACAAGGAAAUUUAUACAAGAUGUUGGGUUUUCCUCAAACAGCUCUGCGGUUUCCCAGAUUCCCAAACGAACCACCAGGCUCAUGAGGCUGUAACCAAAAAAGUGAAACAUCUCUGCCCCAUUAUUUAUUACAGAAUCACAACUGACUCAGAGGAACUAAGAGGAGAUGAACACACAUGGUGAAAGGCAAAAUGUUUUGUACUCUUUGAGGCAUGUCUGCCACUUUCGAUGUUGAGGUGGUGGGGGGUUAAUUAGAGAUUAAAUUGCAGCAUUAAGGUCAUUAAUUUUGAAUGCUACCUCCAAUGACAUCUUGAGGUUAGCUAAUAGGAAGUGUGAUAUUUUCCAUCUUAGUUACAUUUAGGGUAAUUCACAUCUGCAGAGCUUUUGUGAAUUGGCACUUAUUGUUAAAUUGCUGGUUUCCGUGUUAUGGGAACUUUAGACCAUCACAUCCAAAGUCUUGAUAUUUUAUGAAUUAAGAUGUAAAAGUCUGAAAGCCGUGAAGCACAUAUUAAAAAAUUAAAGGUUCUAAGUAGUUCUAAAAAUGUGUGAUUAAUUUAGUUGACAGCAUCCAGCAGUUAGGGUAUCAUUUUUGCAGAGAACAAAUUUUACUUCCAUAUUCUUUAGGUACUGAUUCAUUUGCAGAACACUGGUUAUGAGCUGCACUGUUUGCCAAACUCAUUUGAUUCUUCCAUCACACCUCAUUGGAGUAUAAUAGGCACAGACCUGUAUCGAUUAUUGUGAUUUAAAAGUGGGGGAGAUCUUUGCACAUCAGUUUGGAUAUAAAUUAUAAAUAACAUCUCUAAAGACUGAGAGUUACAGAAACAGCAUUCUUCUGAGACAUCCACAUGUAACGCUGUUUUUCUAGAGGUUAUUAACUUUAUGAUUGCAAUAGUGAUGUACUUGACCCACAGCAAUGAUCACUGUCCAUAAAAUCUUGCAGACUGGACUCAAUCAACUGCCUUUUCCAGUAAUGUUCAUUAGCACUGACCACCAAAGGUCACUCUAAUAAACAGAGGGUCAACACUCACAACAGCAGUAUACAUUCAUUGGUGAAACAGUAUUAUCUUCUCUCUGUUUUCCUCACUAACAUAGAGAUCUGACGCUGUAUAGGUAGCUCAUGUAGGUGUUACAUACAAAUUCCAUGUGUGUAGGGAUACAGAAGCUGAUAUGACAUUUAUUUGCACAAAUUAAGAGACAUCUCUCUAAUGCAGAAUAGUGAGUGAAUUAUCAGACAUCUCAUCGUGAGUGGAUAAGUAGCAGAUCAGACCCAAACACUCAUGUAGCCUAAAUAUACAUUUUUCUUCAAUUUUUUUAACAGAAAACUUUAUAGAGUUAUUUUUGGUUAUAUUAAGAAUGACAGUGUCACAAAUAUGAACAGAGAUACUUUUAAACCCCCUCAAGGUCUUGACUGUACAAUUAGUAUUGUUAUGUUGUAGUAUUUGCAUUAUGGUAGUACCAAGAGAUCCUAGUGCUAUUGUGCUAGGUACUGGAUAAGGGUAAAGACAUUUCCUUUCAAUGCAAGUUACCAAGUAAGCCAACAUCCACAUCAACCUGCUGCUCACUUUUAUAGCUUAAUAGCCCCUUGAAGUACUUUAAAAGUUACAUCUGUCAUACCCCCUCACACAGUUUCCUCAGUCCCCCAAUAAAUUCCACUAUCUUUUUUUAAGUCUCCUCUCAGCUAAAUGGAGUUGGCAUAAUUGUACUUUUAAAGUUUGCUGUGUGUUGUUUUACAAAAAACUGAAGUCAGAAUUAAUAUUGUGAGAGAGUUGUAAGGAACUGGAUGUGUGCAGUUUGGUUGAUUGUAGGUAUGGAAUGAAAAAGAAGUAUGUUGUGGUUCUAAGAAGAAUGUAAAUGCUUCCAGGCAUUGUAGAGUUGCUGCACAGGGGUCCAGUUUGAAAACAGAGCUAGGACUACAGAGAAGUUUCCCUCUUCCUAUCCAGCUUCCUCCAUUUCUCCUAGUUUCCUACUGCAUUUUAAACAUUAAGCUGUUGUUUACGCUUAGUAAAGCUGAUAUUUAGUAAUGUAAUUUCUAUUUGCCAUCAAUAAAAAUAGAGAUUAAAAAUGAACAGUGGGUUAGGAAAUGAAUGGAGUCCAUCCAUAAAGGACCUUGAUUAUGUGCUAGAUUCAAAAACAAACUCAAGUGCCACAAGGUUGAGCUUUGCAGUUCCUAACUCAGUGAUUCCCAAAGGGUGUGCUGGGGCACACUGAUGUGCCACAAGAGCAGCAGAAGUGUGCUGCAAGAUCAUCCUGUGUGAGGUGGUAAAUUCUCUCCUCCCCUGCCCAGCACCCACACCUGGCCCAACUACUCCAAUGGCACCUGCUCUUCUGGAAAUUGCCAUCACUGCUACUGCCUUCCCCUGUCCUUCCCCACCCCCAAGUAGCUCCUCUGCCAGCCCCUACAUGCUUCCAGUAGUGCAGUGUACUGUGAGCAGGCAGACGCGCAGGCAGAGCUAUGCUUUGCAGCUUGGUGUAUACCCUCUACUCCUCCCAUUCUCUCCCAGGGCUAACAGGAGGGACCACAGGGGUGUCUUCCAGUAUGUGUGACCCUGCAAGAGCAGCCUCAGCAGCAGGAGCUGUUCUUGCCCCUGAAGUACAGACCAGGGGCUGGGAGGGGCAGACAAUGGAAGACUGCCUUGGCACAGCCCAGCAAAGUCCUGCCCCCAGCUAGAGCAGUGAUUCUCAACUUUUUUUAUCCUCAAUGCAAGAUCUGAUUUGGCUCAGUGACUGCAGCUAGG